UACGUAGGGGGCAAGCGUUGUCCGGAAUCAUUGGGCGUAAAGCGCGUGUAGGCGGCAGGGUAUGUCGGAUGUGAAAUCCCGUGGCUCAACCACGGAAGUGCACCCGAAACCACCCAGCUAGAGUCUCGGAGAGGAAGGCGGAAUGCUUGGUGUAGAGGUGAAAUUCGUAGAUAUCAAGCGGAACACCGGUGGCGAAGGCGGCCUUCUGGACGAUGACUGACGCUGAGACGCGAAAGCGUGGGGAGCGAACAGG
rnacentral:rRNA from 1 species